rnacentral:rRNA from 1 species
CAUCGCCUCUUGUUAAUAAUAAGAGGUCCAGCCUGCCCAGUGACAAAGUUCAACGGCCGCGGUACCCUAACCGAGCGAAGGUAGCAUAAUCACUUGUUCUUUAAAUAAGGACUUGUAUCAAUGGCACCACGAGGGUCGUACUGUCUCCUUUCUCCAAUCAGUGAAACUGAUCUUCCCGUGAAAAAGCGGGAAUAUACACAUAAGACGAGAAGACCCCAUGGAGCUUUAAACCUCCAGCAACUUAACUAUAAAUUUCUCCACAACCCUUAAAGAAAUGCUUGUUGGUUUUAGGUUGGGGUGACCACGGAGUAAAAACUAACCUCCGCAACGCAUAAACCUAAAUUUUUAUUUAAGAGCCACAACUCUAAAAAAUAGUAUACUAACGUACACUGAUCCGAUAAUCGAUUAAUGAACCAAGUUACCCUGGGGAUAACAGCGCAAUCUAUUUUAAGAGUUCAUAUCGACAAAUAGGCUUACGACCUCGAUGUUGGAUCAGGGUAUCCCAGUGGUGCAGCCGCUACUGAUGGUUCGUUUGUUCAACGAUUAAAACCCU